AAUAAGCUAUUUAAGAGCGUAAGGUGGAUGCCUUGGCUCUCAGAGGCGAUGAAGGACGUGAUAAGCUGCGAUAAGCUACGGGGAUUGGCACACACAAUUUGAUCCGUAGAUUUCCGAAUGGGGCAACCCACUAUAUUGAAGAUAUAGUAUCCGUUAAGGAAGCAAACCCAGGGAACUGAAACAUCUAAGUACCUGGAGGAAUAGAAAACAAAAGUGAUUCCGCUAGUAGUGGCGAGCGAACGCGGAACAGCCCAAACCAAAAUUGUUUCGGCAAUUUUGGGGUUGUAGGACCACGACAUUGAAUGUUUAAUGAAUUAGAAUUCUUU
rnacentral:rRNA from 1 species